AAUCCAAUAUGGAGUAUUGCACGUUGGAUUACACUAGGUCUCCUCCUUUCUGUUCUGUUGUCUAUAACACUUUACUCUCGUUCUACUUCUUCAAAGAAACAAGGAUAACAUCAAAUAUUCUGAAAGUGGACAUGAACUGAACAAGUAUAAGAAGAAAAGACAAUGAGCAUUUAAAUAAAUAACUGGAGAAGACAUAUCAAAGUGUACUGCAGAAAAUUAAGCACUCAGUGUAAUGCAGUGAUGCUUGUUUUUGCUAAAAUGCAGAUUGCUUGAAAUUAUAUAUUAAAUGGUUACUUAUCUAGAGUGUAUUUAUUAUAUGUAAAGCACAUUCUACUGUCUUAAUAAUUUCUGGUUUCUAGUUAUUCACACUGAAGAUAGUAUAUCAUCAUUUCAACAUCUUUGAAAGUUUAACAAAAUAUAAAGCUGGUUUUGUUUAGCAGUUUUAAAUCUUCAUAGCAAGAGCGUGUGAAAACACUUUGUAGGAGUAAAAAUGUGGUUAAUACUUUAGCCUGUGAAUCAUGUAAUGGAAAAUAACGACAUCAACUUGUUAAUGCCUGUGUUGUGUAUCUAGAUUAUCAACUUUGCCUAAAAUGACCUGGUUAAUAAAAGCAGCUAAAUAAAAAUAUUAUAUCUUUAAAA